AUUGAACGCUGGCGGCAGGCCUAACACAUGCAAGUCGAACGAGGGGCGGACGGGCGUGCAACGUCUGGGAACCUGCUUGACGGAGGGGGAUAAUUCAUGGAAAAGGUAGCUAAUAAUGCUCACCUCCAGAUGUGCCCAGAGGGGAUUAGCUAGUUGGUGGGGUAACGGCUCACCAGGGCGACGAUCCCUAGCGGGUCUGAGAGGAUGACCAGCCCCACUGGAACUGAGACACGGUCCAGACUCCUACGGGAGGCAGCAGUGGGGAAUAUUGCGCAAUGGGCGCAAGCCUGAUGCAGCCAUGCCGCGUGUAUGAAGAAGGCCUUCGGGUUGUAAAGUACUUUCGUCGGUGAUGCGUUACCCACAGAGGAAGCACCGGCUAACUCCGUGCCAGCCGCCGCGGUAAUUC
rnacentral:rRNA from 1 species